UCACGUUGGUGGCCUUUCUCUUGACAGCUAGGGGAUCUGGGGUAGCGCUGUAAACACACACACACACACACAUACGCGAGACGGAGAUGCCAGACAAAAGACAAGAAGUCAGUGUAGGCCUAAAUAAACUUGUUGAGAUUUAUAAGUCUGCUCCACGUUAGCCAAUAAGGGAAAUCGGUAUGACUUAACAAUGAGCAUUACUUUUGACUUAAUAUUCAAAUAUCUACAAGCAAAAAUUAAGAAAAGAAAAUUGACGUAAUGUGUACAAGGUUGGCUUACACAGUUGUACGCUAGAAGCUGACGUUUGAAAUUAAUACACAUACAGUCAUACACACAUAUAGAGUCUAUAUCUGCCUUGACAUUUACAAAAAAUAAGUUUGCAGUAGAUAUUUAUAGUCUGAAUUUGAAUUUUCUUUGAACGAGGUGAAAUCUUUAUAUUUGUAUCAAUUGUCUAAGUGUAGUUCUAUAAGCGCUAAAAUAAUUAGAAAUGUUAAACGCACGGAACACUACGUCACAUGUCUUACUUAACUCUGGCAAAUGGAAGCAACUUUGAAACAAUAAUCGCUAUGUUUAGAAAUUUGACUUGAGUUUUUGUCAGCAAAUCAGUGAACCAUUAAGAAUUACAAAUAAUAUUUCCAUUUUUUUUUCUUGUUAGAAUAUGUAUUGUCACAGUAUUAAUGUCAACCUACUUGCAUAAGAUUGGAUAUUCCCUAUUACUGUCAGCCUUGUACAACAAAAUCAGAAGUAAAUACAGUUGUAUAAAAGUAGAAUGAUUUUAGACAUUUCAAAUAAUUUGACAUUUCUAGUCAUUGCUAAGUGUUUGAUAAAUCUCGAGAAAAAUUACAAUGCAUUUAAAACAAAUAAUAAAAGAGUGGAUACUUUCUAUGGGGCCUUCAUCUCAAUACAUUAAAGCCUCUGCAACACAACCUUCAAGGUCGACUGUUGUUAUUACAUCAUUCUCUGGACAUACAGUCGUUCUGAAGAACAGGCCUGUCCCUCAACAUCAACAACGUCGACAACACCAACAACGUCCACAACAACACAGAUCAAAAUAGAUGCUAUUUGUUUAUAUGUUAUUCGAACAGUUUGCGGUGCUAUUGUUUAAAAUAUUGGAUCAUUUUUGUGUGAUCUAGAGUCUACGUAAUGAAAAUGUAAAUAAUAAUUUAUGAUUGAAAUAUUUUCUCGCAUAGUGUAAAUAAUCCUUUAGGCAUAAUAAUCUCAUUAUCAUUAAGGAUAUGUGAUAUGUUUCGUUUUUAGAAACACGACUACAUAACUAAAAACUGUAAAAUACUCUUUUAAAAUAUGAAUAUUGGACCAUACAGUUUAUUUUGGUCUUUAGUUAAGUUUAAAGCAAUACUACAUACAAGUUAAAUUUCUAAAAGUUAUAUUUAAAAAUAGAAUCUAGAUCUAAAUGUUUUGGACUAAUACUAAAUUUAGUUAAAUUGAUAAGGCCAUCGAUCCUACCAUUGUUUCGGUAUGUGAAUCCUAUGAUUUAAACUCUUUAUUAUCACAUUAGGUUUCUAUUUCUAUUAGAAGUCUCUGUUUUAAUAGAAAGUUCGUAUUAUUAUGAAUAGUCUCUAGCUUUGCGUAAAGUUUUGAUGAAAAGUCUAUAGUUUUAUUUUUAUGAAAAUCGUCAAUUAUAAUUUUGAAAGGUCACAACUGUUACUACUGUUAUCCAUUUAAAAUGUCUCUCAUGUUAUUAUUAUUCUUGUAAUUCAAUGCCUCUGUUAUUGGUAUGAGUGUUCUGUAUGAUCUUUUACAAUACUUCUAUUCAAGUCAGAACUUCUUUGAACCUAAAAGGUGGGGCCUGAACCCAUAUCUAAAAAAAAAACGGCGCUAAAGAUGUUUGUAGAAAUUUAACAAUUGAUGUAUAUCGCUGAAAAAAAAAAAAAAGAAUUACUAGCUCGAUGGCAACAUGGAGAAAACUAUAGUUUGAAUAUUAGAAUUGUUCAAAGUGAAAAAGAAAUAAAUUUAAGUUUAGCUAGUCAGCCGAAGUGUACCUAUAACUGAGUUGUUUAUUGAAUUUAAAAUUGAUAUGAGUUAAUUGAAGGAUUAUCUUAGUUUACUUAUAUUUGUUAUUUGUAAAUCUAUUAACGAUUACAUCUUGAUUCUAGAACUAAAUCUAAACUAGAUCUUAAAAGUUUUAAAUCAGAAAUUUAGGUACAUUAGAUCACUAGAUCUAGUAGUAGGCCUAGAUGUUUAUAUAAUAAUAAUAAUUAUACAAUUUGGGUAGCGUCGUUUGUGCCUCGAGCUGACGGUGCCAUAGUAUGAGUUCAAUAACCGCUUGGGCAAAUUUUUUAGAAAUUAUUUUUUAAAUAUUUUAUUUUAUUUUCAGUUGUCAAAUGGAGGAGGUAUUUUUUUUUUUUAAAUAUAUUUUUCUUAAAAUGUUUUUUUUUUGUUUCUGUGAAGAAUAAAAAGUAUGAAUGCGUUAUAAAUGUGUAAAUCAUAGAUUCAAAAUUGUUAUAUGUAUACUACUGUUUCAAAUGUUAUGUUUCAAAUUUUGACCUUAAGAAACGCACUUUAAGUGUUAAAAAGAAGUAAAGAAUGUUGUGCAUUUC